rnacentral:rRNA from 1 species
AUUGAACGCUGGCGGCAUGCCUUACACAUGCAAGUCGAACGGCAGCACGGGAGCAAUCCUGGUGGCGAGUGGCGAACGGGUGAGUAAUAUAUCGGAACGUGCCCAGUCGUGGGGGAUAACGUAGCGAAAGCUACGCUAAUACCGCAUACGAUCUAUGGAUGAAAGCGGGGGAUCGCAAGACCUCGCGCGAUUGGAGCGGCCGAUAUCAGAUUAGGUAGUUGGUGAGGUAAAGGCUCACCAAGCCGACGAUCUGUAGCUGGUCUGAGAGGACGACCAGCCACACUGGGACUGAGACACGGCCCAGACUCCUACGGGAGGCAGCAGUGGGGAAUUUUGGACAAUGGGCGCAAGCCUGAUUCAGCAAUGCCGCGUGCAGGAUGAAGGCCUUCGGGUUGUAAACUGCUUUUGUACGGAGCGAAAAGGCUUCCACUAAUACUGGGGGCUCAUGACGGUACCGUAAGAAUAAGCACCGGCUAACUACGUGCCAGCCGCCGCGGUAAAAC